AAUAAAAAUAUCUUUGGUUGGGGCAACCGCGAAGAAAAAACAACCUUCGAUAAACAAAAAAAUUAACAAAUUUAAAAUUUUUAAAAAAAAGAUCCAGAAAUACUGAUCAAAGAAAAAAGUUACCGCAGGGAUAACAGCGUUAUUCUCUUUGAGAGUUCUUAUUGACAAGAGAGUUUGCGACCUCGAUGUUGGACCGGGGCACCUUAGAGGAGCAAAAACCUCUAAAAGUAGGUCUGUUCGACCUUUAAAGCCCUACGCGAUCUGAGUUCAGACCGACGCAAGUCAGGUCAGUUUCUAUCUA
rnacentral:rRNA from 1 species